GCAGAAUGCAUAAACUUAUUAAUGAUCUUUAUUAGUUUCAGCUGUCAGGCUAAACCCAUCAUCACAAACAUCAAACACGUCGGCGUUUCUUUGAUGGUCAGUUGCUAAAUAAUUGUUGCACGCGUUUUUCGUGAAUAAAACUUAACAUACCUAGUUUGAGUUAAAUAAGUAAUACUAAGUAUAUAAAUCGAAAUAUUUGUAAUAUUGAUUCCAUCAUAGAACGUAAAUGAUUAUAUAAACCACGACAUAUAAUUAUUAGUAGCAUAAUGUUCUUCGUGGUCAUUUUUAUUUUUAACAAAAUACUAGUCUACUAGAACACCGGUGUGACGAUGUCAAACUGUUUUUAAAUUGUCACAUUUUGAAAUCCUUGCUAUCGGGCUUUUCCGUUGCUGCUCGCUUGACACAGAAAUGUACAUAUUGAAUCGCAAUAUUUCGGCAGAUCGACCGAACCAGAGGUAAUAUUGGCCGAGGUGUUUUGAAUGAUCGGCCGAAGUAUUCCGAGUUCAGGGAAAAACAGCUAAGUGCGAUUCUCACUUAUUGGUUUAUUUCUUUGAAUAUGAUAGCUGUAGCCGUAUUCCAUUGUGAAUGAACAAUGAAUAAUAAUGUGAAUUUACAUGCAUGCCAUACUGAUAGCUGGUGCAUAUUUGUGUGGUGGGUUGCUCGACAAGUGGGUUCUUCGUCAGCGGCAUCAGAAACUCCACGUCCUGAAGGACCCUUGUGAUGUAGCCCAGUGAUUAAGAGCUCGUUUUAUGCAAGAACCAAAGAAGUACAAAGACCUACUGUUGCCAUGGCAGCCAGUUCGAUAAUCAGUUAUUUUGUGUUCAGUUGGACAUGAGCUACAUCUUGGACAUAGAUAAUUAAUUGACACUAAGUGUGUAGAGUUUGCUGUUUGCCAAUGUUCAUAAAUAGCGGUCAUGCUUGCAACAAAUCUUUGGCACUGUUUUGUAAAUAUUUCCAGUAAUAAACUUGUCAUACUCUUAA